AAAAAAGGAAGAGGAAAAAAUUCUGGCAGAGGGACAGCAAGCACAGCUGGGACAGCAGAGUGGAUAUUCUCAAAGAAAACAAUAUUUGGGAAAAUGCAGCAAGAAAAAGCAAGAUAUGACUGCAAGGCACAAAGCUGCUCAGCUGGAAUUGAAUCCACAUGCCUCUGGGAGCUUCCAUGGAGCUGCAAUCCAGCACAGAGGUUUGGCACUGGGACUGUGAUAAACAGGUGCUACCACAGCAGAAGUUACCACCAUGCCAAAAUUACAGCUGGGGCAGAGUUAACCCUUUUCACAUGUAUGUGGAAACCAGCUGGUACAA